AAAGCUCUGCCUUUUACCGUUCAAAAGUUCUUGAAGAUCAAAGUUGCCAAAAGUUGUCACUGAUCAAUACCAAAGUGAACUGAUAGGUAUUAUAGGUACUUACUCAGUGAUGAUACAAUUUGACCACUUUCGGCAACUUUGAUCUUCCAGAGUUUUUGAAUGGUAAAAGAUAGAGCUUUUGGUACAAAUAAGUAGGAUAAAAUUACGAACGUUAUUUGUUGUAUUAAUAAAUACCUAUGUGUUCGCUGAAAAUUUCGGUUAAUUUCAGUUCAAAGUUCAAUACUUAUACUGCUCGCAGCUGGUUUUCGCCUUGUUUUUGCAACUUCAAGCUUCGAGAACUUAUGAACGGUAAAAGGCAGAGCUUUCGGGAAACCCCCAUUUUAAAGAAAAUAAAAUUACAAACAAUUUUCUGCAUUAAAAUACCUAUGUGUUCACUGAAUAUUUCGAUUAAUUUUAGUUCAAAGUUCAAUGAUUACUGCCUGCAGCUGGUUUUUGCAACUUAAAGCUUCGAGAACUUUUUAACGGUAAAAGGUAGAGCUUUCGGGAAAAACUCAUUUUAAAGAGGAUAAAAUUCUGAACAUUUUAAUCAUUCAAAACACAUAUGUGCUCAUUGAAAAUUUCGAGUAGUUUAUAGUUUAAAGAUGACGUACGUACUAUUCGAAAAUCAGUAAAAUAGAAGUAUUCAUAAAAUCGUUAUUUUUACGCGAAAUGAUGAAAAUUUAAGAUCAAUCGAUACAGAAUUUUAUUGCCUUUAAUUUGAGACUACAUGAAAGUUCACCCGAACUCGCGUACAAUCGAAAAAAUUGCAUUUUUUACAUGAGAAAUCGUAUGCGUCUAUAGUAGUGCCGGCCAAGUUGUCAUCCCUUGGCACAGGCGCUAGGGUAUGCAGCAAUUUUGUAAAUGCUCUUGACGUUAGCUCAGUUCAUUAUUUCAUAAUCCAUGUCAGUUCGUUUGUUCGUUCACUUCAGUACCAAGUACCAUUUCAGUACAGUUUUCUAUUCCUUUGGUUCCAUUCUCAAUAUUAUUUAGAAAUGCUCGCAUUAAUAGAGAAGAAUAAGGAUUUAAGAAGAAGGGUCGAAGCUGAAAAACAGCGAGCAGAAGCUGAAAAACAGCGAGCAGAAAAAGCUGAAGCUGAGAAGAAACGACUGGAAGAAACAUUGCGGUCCAAAGAAGCAGAAUUAGAUAAACUUAAAUCGACUCCUUCAUGGUUUGGCAGGCUCUUCUAAGAAGAAAAUCCAAGAAGAUGGUGUUUGCUUUCCAAGAUGAUGUCUUAUGGUACUUCAUGAAUCAGUUGUUUUUAUUUAAAAUCUUUCUUGUAAGAUGUUCUUUUCUGUUGAGAUAAUGCCUUGUAGGGUACUUAAUAAAUCAACUGUUUAUAUUUAAAAUUUGCUAGUGUAAACUGAUUUCGUCUUCAUAUUUCCUGUAAAUGAUUUUUGUUUUUGGUUCAAAAGU